rnacentral:rRNA from 1 species
AGGUCUCAAGCGUUGUUCGGAUUCAUUGGGCGUAAAGGGUGCGUAGGCGGCGCGGUAAGUCGGGUGUGAAAUCUCGGAGCUUAACUCCGAAACUGCAUUCGAUACUGCCGUGCUUGAGGACUGGAGAGGAGACUGGAAUUUACGGUGUAGCGGUGAAAUGCGUAGAUAUCGUAAGGAAGACCAGUGGCGAAGGCGGGUCUCUGGACAGUUCCUGACGCUGAGACGCGAAAGCGUGGGGAGCAAACAGG